UGCACUCUCCGGCUUGUUCUGUCCCUCUACCCCCCCCCCCCUCUCUCUCUCAUAUUCCGACCGUUCCUGAGGUGUGACAGCAGUCGGGAGGAGGGAGAAGGAUUCAUCAGGAUACGGUGGAGGGGUUUGGUCCCUUGCAACGCUCAAACUUCCCAACACCCAGGCUCACUCCAGGAAUCGGGCACGGCACCGACGUAGCUGUGGGAUCUGAAAUAGCCAGUUCAUGUUCAUGCUUUAAAGCAAGCACUGCCGUUUAUGAACUGUACUUCAAGGUAGCAGCACAUUUAAGCAUGGGCCACGGCAGCAUCCGGGGAGCAUCUGAUCAGCAGCUGCCGUGCUCCGGAAGCCAGCAAGCGGAGGGUGAGAGGCUGGCCGUGGUGGGGAGGGUUCCUGGCACCGUGAUUUGGUGGACAAACAGAACUAAAAAUCACAUUGCCAGGGAUUUCCACCCCUGCAUGGCUCUCGAGGUGCUCAGGACCUGCACCACUGCCACAGGCGUACGCAGAAGGCCGAAAUAGAAAGCAGUGGAAGAUGGCGGCGGCACACGGUGCGCGACGCGUGACUUCGAGGUCAAAUGCUCGGGAUGCGAGAGAUGCCGUCGAUGUCGGUGUUGCGGCACAGCGCGCCGGCACUGCCUUUGAUGCUCUGCAGGUUUUUGCGUGUUAGAAUGCUGCACUGAAUUAAAUGGAGUGCUCUGUCUGUGCUUGCGCAACCUCUCAGGCGUCCAGUUCAUCUGAGUGCAGCCCUUCGGCGUGUUUUUCAUGCUCAAUAACACAAACAGAGAAUCACGUCUUUGGAAAUAUCACAUAUCCUCUGGAAUGAAUAGAUAAUGACUUACUGGAAUGGCAGCGGAGUGAAAGGGCGUCUGGCUCUUCUCUCAGACUCAGAAAAAGGAAACUUUGUAGGUCCCCUGCACUCUUGCGCUGCUUGUAGUGGGUUUUUAUUAGUAUGCUGACUAUGCAAACCACAUGUCACGCAGAGCAAUGAUUCAUAAGACGACAAUGUUGACAAGCCAUCGCUGUCGCCCAUGUUGCACUCGCGUGCUACAGACUGCCUGAUGAGAGUGUUUUCCCACAUUGAGCUUUGUUGCCUCACCAGAUCAAACAGAUCAUCGUUACUUGCUCAAGGUGCAGAGCUUAGCUAAUUGGUGAGCAUUGAUCCCGUAAAUAUACUGUUCACAGUGGCUAAGUUCAGCGUCUGCAGCGAGACAACUGACGGGAUGUUGAAAAGCUUUGUUGGACAUCCACUCUACUGCUCUAGCAGAGCCUAAAACUGGGAUAAUGAGAGGGCGCUCUAGAGGACCGCGAGGUUCUGCCAGGUCGGCUCAGAGGUGUCUGAAGGGAUGUCAGAGUGCAGUAAGUUACCCAUAAAGAAGGACCGUAAAGGUCAGACCAGUUGUGGCAUGCCAGUUUCUUGUUGGCUCUCGCUAAAAAGCAGUUUUGGCACCUACCAAUAGCAUUGGCUUACGUGGCACCUCCGCCUGCCCGUAGACCUGAAGUGGGCACCAGGUCAAAGCUCCAUUAGCAAAGAUGGGCAAAGCCAAAAUGGAAAGCUCACAUUUCGUGCUUUGUUCCUCCAAAACACAUCAUUAGGCACUGAGUAUUUAUGUAUGGCUAUAUUAAUUCCUACUCACUGGUUCUCACUGAUGUAGACAUUAUAGGCUCUAGACAUUACCAGACAGAAUGAACUGCUUGCUUCCCACAUCUAAAUCACACUCUUCCCGCCCAGUUCCACGAUGAGUCAGAUCUUGUCAUAACAGCAGCAUUCCUGACAAUGGGGGUCCAACAUCAGAGUAGCCAAUGACGGACAACGUUCGAGAAGAACAGCAACAAGCAAUAAUAACUCAAAAGCCUGAAGGUUGAGGCCUCCGGUGCCUGCUGAGCUGGUAUCAGUGUGUCCACAGAGAGCUGGCUCAGCUCAGCAGGAACAGAAGUCCCAGCCAACGUACAGCGCCUCCUGCAUCCACCGCGCUGCGCAUAGCAACGCCGUGAUGAAAUGUGAAUCGUUCAGCCGUUGGGAAGAGGGGUUAGGGUGUACUGGAGCUGCGGCAUAGUGAUGAACACACUAUCUGUUCAAACAGAUUUCAUACCACAAGUAAGGCCACAGAUGUGGAUGCAGUUAAUCCAAGACCAGGUUUUUAGACUGCUUGUUGUUGUUUUUUGCAUUUGUGUGUGUGUGUGUGUGUUUUGCAAAAAGUCUGAUGGCAGAUUUCUACCUGUUUCUACCUGCUAAUCCAAUUUCCUUUACCUAAGAAGGCAGGCAACGCCUGCAGUGUCGCGACGUGGUCUUAUGCAUUAAACUGAGUCAGGAUGAAUUAUGGCAAGUCCCUUUUUUUAGGCCAUAUUGUCAUCUCCAUUUAACCGGAGUGAAUAAUGGUAGUCAUAGAUCUCCUCCCCUCAGCCCGUUUGCACUAGUCUAACUUUAGCUUCCAUUCUUCAUUUCUGGAGGACACCCUUCCUUUAGAAAGCACAGAAAGUUUACAACUAGGUGCGGAAGAAAGCCCAGAAGGUCUCGCCUCACCCGAAUCAGAUUUCGCUGUGAAAACUCCAUCAUUUAGGUUUCCAUGUGAUAAUGAUGUCCUCAUUAAGGCUGCUUAAACCUCACAUGACAUGCUUUGAUGGUGUAGGGUGUCGUAUUAUUUAAAGAUCUCUGAGAGCUCCCACAGCGUCUUGCCGUUUUAGCCCCAGUCUCCUCAGAACAAAUGAGUUCUUUUGUAUGAGAGACUUCGUUCGUUCGUUCGUUCAUUCAUUCAUUCAUUCAUUCAGUGCUUCGCGUGACACCUAAAUACCACAUCGCCGUAAGAACAUUAGCAUCUCUUACUAUUUAAAAAUUCUUUAUUGAAGUUCCACAAUAUAGACAACUACACGAAUCAUGUUCAAUGCACAGAAACACUACAGUUGUUAAACGAGUGUGUGAGUGGAGGCCGCUGUAUUGAGGACCUUGGGCAAACAGAGGCCAUGGCAGUUUCUUAUGUCAGUGACCUGCUACGCAGAAGAAUGCCCGUAUAUGUUUCUUUAAGGUAAGAUUAUCCUCGUUCUUUUUACUCGCCAUUCUCUCUCUCUCUCUCUCUCUCUCUCUCUCUCUCUCUCUCUCGUACAGACAGCCUUUCAAUAAAGAUCUUUUUCACUCAA